AUGACGCCUCUGUUCAUCUCAGUGUUGCUGGCUGCUGUGUGCCUUGAAUGCAGAGCACAAAAAGACAAUGUGCUGCAACCAGAAGGAGACGUGACUGCUGCUGAAGGAGAGCCAGUAACACUUGACUGUACAUUUGAGACCAGUGGCAAUCCAACUUUGUUCUGGUACAAACAGGAUGGAAACAACAGCCCCAAAUUCAUACUGAGCCGCGUUCAACGGGAUGAUGGGAAAACAGAGGAAGAGUUUAAAGAAAGAUUUUCAUCCACACUGGAUUCCACCUCAAGAUCAGUUCCUCUGAAGAUCCAGAAGCUUCAGCUGUCUGACUUUGCUGU